rnacentral:rRNA from 1 species
GAUGAACGCUGGCGGCGUGCCUAAUACAUGCAAGUCGAGCGAACGGACGAGAAGCUUGCUUUUCUGAUGUUAGCGGCGGACGGGUGAGUAACACGUGGAUAGCCUACCUAUAAGACUGGGAUAACUUCGGGAAACCGGAGCUAAUACCGGAUAAUAUUUUGAACCGCAUGGUUCAAAAGUGAAAGACGGUCUUGCUGUCACUUAUAGAUGGAUCCGCGCUGCAUUAGCUAGUUGGUAAGGUAACGGCUUACCAAGGCAACGAUGCAUAGCCGACCUGAGAGGGUGAUCGGCCACACUGGAACUGAGACACGGUCCAGACUCCUACGGGAGGCAGCAGUAGGGAAUCUUCCGCAAUGGGCGAAAGCCUGACGGAGCAACGCCGCGUGAGUGAUGAAGGUCUUCGGAUCGUAAAACUCUGUUAUUAGGGAAGAACAUAUGUGUAAGUAACUGUGCACAUCUUGACGGUACCUAAGCAGAAAGCCACGGCUAACUACGU